rnacentral:lncRNA from 1 species
GUGGUUUUCUGAAUAUACGCAGCAGGGUUUUGUUCUGUAUAUCCAGCCGGUGCUCUGAAUAUGUACAACACAUAAUCAGGUGAUCAUUGGAGAUAUCAUCCAUCCUUAAGCAUUUAAUUCAGUAAAGAUUAGAUUCCUUUUUUUUGCGGGGUAGUAAAGAUUAGAUUCCCAGCUGAAAGCAGCACAGGAGGCACUUGUCUGGACCCUAAUUCCUCUGUUUUAUUAGGCACAUCCACUUGUGGAGUCAUCAGAAGUAUGACCAGUCUCCAAAUGCCAGCUUGCAUAGUAUAUUUUGAAAGGAAGAAGCUACUCAUGUUGGACAAGAUGCAGCCAGCUCAGAGAGAGAUAAAUUCGGCUUCAGCAGGUUGCAUCUUUUCUUCCGACUUUGAUUUUGGUAACAGAAACAGAGUGCCUU